AAUAUCAUAAAUACCCUAGAGUGGACAGCCUUGGUUUCUUUCGCAAUCCGGUUCCUUGACAGUAGCUUUUCAUCCCCGGGCAUCCCCGGACUUUUAACUGCCUAGAAGGUGAUGAUGAUCUGAUCCCUGGCAAUGGUCUUGUCGUGGGGCGCAUAUUAGUUAGGGUGGGUGUCAAUAGACGUCUGA
rnacentral:snoRNA from 1 species